AGCGUGUCCAUUCUCAGACCUUGGAAAGAAAAAACACGAGAAAAAAACAAACAAAGAAGACAAAUUUUUGAUAUCUUGCAAGAUACCGUAGAUUUCCUUGUGAGACCGUUUGUUGUUGAUGGCCCUAACGAGGGUUUGAUUGUCUGAGAGUGCUCGAAGAUGAGUUAAUCCAAUGGAGAUGGCUUCUGUGAUCGCGGAUCUCAUAGCCAGAGCCUCUGCAAUCAACGCAGAGUCGACAUAGGUCUCGACCUUGGUUCCACUGAAAUUAGGAAGAUGUUGCGGACCUGAGAAGAUCCAGGCCAUGCCCGCCCUUUUUGUGAUUGCAUCCCAGGCUGCAUCUGAUUUGCAUGUCGAUAUGGGGAGAUCUAGGUUAUGGAGAGAAUUGAUCGUUUCUUCGUUGCUAUGUCGUGGUUGUGAUUCCUGUCGUGGCUGAGAUUCUGGGGUCUGGCGUUUCUCGAAGAUUAGGGUGUUCAUGGAGAUCCAAAGAGCCCACGCCAGCCAUGAUAGUAGGUUGGAAGUCAUGCCCGUUGGUGGGCCGUUUAGGACUUUCCUUAAUCUGACAAGCGCUGUAGCCAAGUCCUGACACGCAGCUAUGUGAACCGCAGGGGAGAAGGACAAGUAUUGCCAAAUUUGAAUUGCAUAGGGGCAUUGAAAAAAGAUGUUAUAGCCCAGAGGAAUUGCCUUAUGAAUCACUGACCAGAGGAACACUUUAAUUUUUGGAGAGCCCGAGUUAUUCCAGAUAUCUUUCCUCCAGCUAAAUUCAUCUUGAUUCGUAGAGCUGGGGAGAUUACUUUCCUUUGAAGCAGUGGUGGAGUGGUAGCCAGACUUUGCUGUAUAUAUUCCAUCUUUUGCUGGCUUUCAUAUAUAGGCAUCUUCAGAUUCUAGAAGGCUAGGCCUCAGCGCCAGGAUCUGCGUGGAGAGCAAAGGUCCAAAUGGUCGCAUCUCAUGAGAAAGGGAGAUCCAUGAGUCUUGCCAUACUUUGGUAGUUAGGCCAUUUCCGAUCACCUUUCCCAGUCCAGCCUUUAGUAGAUCUCUGCCGUGAGAGCAUGAAGGAGGUGUUGCCACUUCUAGAAAGCUCUUCUUACUGCAAUACUUUCCGGGAGCAGGAAGCAUGAUAGAGUAUAAGUGGGGAUUGCCUGAAGAAUCGUCUUAAGCAAAUGUCAUCUUGCCUGCUUUGGAGAGUUGUUUGGAGGACCAACUCUAGGCCCUCUGUCAAAUUCUAUCUACUAUGGCUGUAAACAGAUCCUUUUUUCGACGACCGAAAUGCUCUGGGAGCCCAAGGUACUUCCCAUUCCCUCCCUCUCUUUGAAUUCCAAGGAUUUGUUUGGCUGCUUCUUUGAUGUCGUUUGGUGUUUUACUCGAAAACGUGAUUGAUGACUUUUGCACAUUUAUUUUUUGUCCGGAUGCUGACUCGUAUUCUUGGUGUAUGCUGAGGAGGGUGGCGCAGCUUGUCUGAUCUGAGUGGUAGAAGAACAUUGUAUCGUCAGCAAACAGGAGGUGGUUCACCCUGGACUUCCUCUAGCCACUCUGACCCCCUGGAGUGAACCGUCUUGCGCCGCUUGUUUGCACAAUCCCGACAGAACCUCUCCGCAAGGGAUGAAUAUGUAUGGAGAUAGGGGAUCUCCCUGCCUGAUUCCACAGUGCCCUGUUCUGAAGAAAGCUUGGACUUCCUUGGUGAUUGCUUCUCCUAUAACUUGCCAAUAUGCUCCUAUAACGCGCCUCUACUGUUUGGGUCCAAGAUCGAUAUUAGGGGUCUAUGAUCAGAACCUGCAAACUUCAUAUAAUUGCAGUGACAGGAUGGGAAGAUCUCUGACCACUCAUUGUUUCCAAUAGCUCUGUCAAGCCUGCAAUGAACCAGGUUCACCAUAUACGAAAGGUGGAGUGAAAGGAGACGCCUUUGAAGAUGAUAUUGGUGUCGAUGAAGUUGUUUGAUUUUGAUAGGAUCGUAAUGUCCACUUCAUUCUUCCAGCCUAGGUAAAGCCUGCCUCCUCCAGGGGACUGUGGAGGAACACCACAUUUGGAGAGUUCACUCGGUGAAUCUCUCUUAAAUGCUGGACUGUCAUGGGGUUCCCAAUCCCACUACAGUUUCAGCUCGCUACAGCUAAGGACCCUGAGGCAGAGGGUCGUGAAAAUCCUUUCUCUUUUCUGAGAUCGCUGGUACAAUCACCGCUCUUGGUGGUGCUGUAGAUGAGGCAGUUUUUGAGCUCCUGCUAUUUCCUGCCUUGAAUGCUCUUUUCUGACCUUGAGAUCUUGCUGGAGAGGUUGUUUUAUUUGGACAGUGACCAUGUUCUCAUCUUCGUUGGAAGCAGGAGAGGGGGCGACGAUGGUUGGUUGUUCUUCGUUAGCUACCAAUAAUUUAUCCUGGUGUGAGGAACCCUCCGCUGUUGAAUUUGCCAUAAUACUAGCAAUGGUCUCCUCAACCAGUCCUCUAGCUUCGCUUUGAGUCACACGAUGGCGUCUUGCUUCUUGUUCUGUUGGGUCAGCACAACUAAGGUUCAGAUAGGGGUCAGCAGUCUCUUCGUGCUAGAAGCACGUCAAUGUGUUCAUAGGAGGAGGAGUGUUCAGAAUUUUGUUACUGCUCUCCGGAGUAUCGCUUAAGAUCAGUGGUGGAUUCGUUGCUGCAGCUAUUAUAGGUCUAGUUGUCUCUUCAUUGAGACCUCUUGCUUCUCCUGCUUGUACUCAUAGCUUUCGUGAUGCUGCUUCCAUGGGAUCUGGGCAGCUAAGCGUGAUCGUUGCUGGUGAGUUGCCUUGGAACAGACUCAAUGGGUUUCUUCCUCCACUGCCAAGUAUCUCUUUCCAGGAAAAGAGGUUUUACGUUGCAAGAGAGGCUUGGUUGGACCUUCCUAGAGUGCACAUAGGGGGUGAGUCAUAACUUGUGUUCCUUGAGGUGUGGUUGCUUCUUCCCUGGUAGCCAUCUAUCGUCUGGGCUUUACCCACCGGAGGGGGUUUCCUAGCUAGUCUGUUUUGUACUCACCCGCAGACCAAACUUACUACCGUGUCUUUCUACCCUCUGAUGGAACUCCUCCCCGUUCCCUGGCUCAUCGUCGCUGUUGAAGACGGAUCUGGCUUCCUCACAGGAGAAACGGGCAGUGUGUUUUCUGGUGGGAGAGAAGUAGACAGUGGGAGCAGUGGUUCUCCAAGCGUUCGUAUUCCAAAGUAAUAUUUGUUUCUUCACCCGACUUAAACUCUAUGAUAGUUUCCUUGGUCUUGGCAUAUGCUACGGAGCAUCCUUUCAUGUGAGUAGUGGAAUGGGAGUCCUUUGAUUCGGAUCCAAAAGGGAAUCAUUGAGGGAAAAGCAUCAGAGAUGAUGGGUUCCCAUUGUUGCAGGAGGAUCAUCCAGUAGUUGAAGUGGUAUGGUCUGUUCUCCAAGACUUUUAGCAAAUCUUCCUCCAGCUCAAACCUGAACUGGAAACAAUUGUGACCUAAGUCAGAUCCCACUACUCUUCCUUGGAUAUUCCAUUUUCGAGGCAGUGAUAGAAUAAGAGUCCAAACUCUUUGUUUUGCUGGAUUAGUAAGCCUUCCGGUGAGGGUGAGAGCGUUGUCUUUGAUGAGUGCAGAUGUAUUGAGAGACGGAGCCCUGACACGCUUCAGUUGUUUCUCCUCUGGUUCUCCAGCUAUCCCUUUGCCCUUCUCAGCUGCUGUUAGACGUCUCUCCAUGGUAGAGAGAAAGCUUUACUGGAAAUUUGUGUAGAGACUUGUUGUUGAAGCUUCAGAGAGUCGUUGUAGAUCUAUAGAUUCUUCAGAUUGUUUCCAAGACUAAGUAGAUCUGAAUUUUGAAGAUUGAAGUUGGUUGAAGAUCUGAUGGAGAUGAAGCGGAUGGUGCUAUUUUAGGCUAAGGAUUAGGGUUGCGACUGGUUCCUUGGCUGCUUUAAUUUGUAAGGUUUCUAAAAACGGAAGCUAGAACGAGUUGUCAUCUAUGUAUAUGGUUUACUUAACAAACAAACAAGCAAGUGGUGAACUCAUCAUGAUCUUUGUACUUGUGAUACAGUUCGAAAUUUGGUCAAGCCACAGUAGGAUCGAUUCAACUAUAGGAAAGAAAAUA